UUUGCCUACGGGAGGCAGCAGUGGGGAAUAUUGCACAAUGGGGGAAACCCUGAUGCAGCGACGCCGCGUGAGUGAAGAAGUAUUUCGGUAUGUAAAGCUCUAUCAGCAGGGAAGAUAAUGACGGUACCUGACUAAGAAGCCCCGGCUAACUACGUGCCAGCAGCCGCGGUAAUACGUAGGGGGCAAGCGUUAUCCGGAUUUACUGAGUGUAAAGGGUGCGCAGGUGGCAGGGCAAGUCAGAUGUGAAAGCCCGGGGCUCAACCCCGGUAUUGCAUUUGAAACUGUCCGGCUAGAGUGCAGGAGAG
rnacentral:rRNA from 1 species